rnacentral:misc_RNA from 1 species
CGACGGAGCGGUCCGUUA